CUUUAAUCUCUCGUAAU
rnacentral:sRNA from 1 species